CACGUAGGGUGCGAGCGUUGUCCGGAAUUAUUGGGCGUAAAGAGCUCGUAGGCGGUGUGUCGCGUCGGCCGUGAAAACCUGCAGCUUAACUGUGGGCGUGCGGUCGAUACGGGCAUCACUGGAGUUCGGCAGGGGAGACUGGAAUUCCUGGUGUAGCGGUGGAAUGCGCAGAUAUCAGGAGGAACACCGGUGGCGAAGGCGGGUCUCUGGGCAGUAACUGACGCUGGAGGAGCGAAAGCGUGGGGGGGCGAACAGG
rnacentral:rRNA from 1 species